rnacentral:rRNA from 1 species
GACGAACGCUGGCGGCGUGCUUAACACAUGCAAGUCGAACGAUGAAGCCUUUCGGGGUGGAUUAGUGGCGAACGGGUGAGUAACACGUGGGCAAUCUGCCCUGCACUCUGGGACAAGCCCUGGAAACGGGGUCUAAUACCGGAUAAUACUUUUCUCUGCAUGGGGGAAGGUUAAAAGCUCCGGCGGUGAAGGAUGAGCCC